GGUGGCGAAGGCGGAUCUCUGGGCCAUUACUGACGCUGAGGAGCGAAAGCGUGGGGAGCGAACAGGAUUAGAUACCCUGGUAGUCCACGCCGUAAACGUUGGGAACUAGGUGUUGGCGACAUUCCACGUCGUCGGUGCCGCAGCUAACGCAUUAAGUUCCCCGCCUGGGGAGUACGGCCGCAAGGCUAAAACUCAAAGGAAUUGACGGGGGCCCGCACAAGCAGCGGAGCAUGUGGCUUAAUUCGACGCAACGCGAAGAACCUUACCAAGGCUUGACAUAUGCCGGAAACACCUGGAGACAGGUGCCCCCUUGUGGUCGGUAUACAGGUGGUGCAUGGUUGUCGUCAGCUCGUGUCGUGAGAUGUUGGGUUAAGUCCCCGCAACGAGCGCAACCCUUGUUCUUGUGUUGCCAGCAUGCCUUUCGGG
rnacentral:rRNA from 1 species